AAGAUCCCAGAAGUACACACACUAAAACUGGAACAAUAUAGAGAUCAGCACAGCCCCUGUAGAAGGAUGACAACGCAAAUUUGUUAAGUGUUCCAUAUUUAA
rnacentral:snRNA from 1 species